ACCUUCCCUCAUGAGGAUCGAUCCCCACCUCCUCCCCGCCCGUGCUAUGGACAAAAGGGGGUGUCUUAACUGUACUAGACAGUUGUUGGCAAAUGAUAAAGCAUAUGCAAAGUGUUUUUGUUUUUUCUGAGGAAGAAUAUUGCAUAUAAGGUUGCGAGGAUCUUUAUGGAUAUCAAGACAUUUCUAAAUGACGCAUAAUUAUGUCAUGGGCCGAGAAAGGCGGCAACAUAGGGUUCUGGUUUCCCAUCAUCAUGAGAUACAACACAGGAUUAUAUGAAUUCAAGGGUUUGUAGAGGUUUCUUUUGGGUUUGGUUUUAUUGAUUUUUUCAAGCUACUUUGGUAUUUGAUUGAGAUUGCUCUGAAGAUUGUUUUGGAAUAUGCUACUCUAGCAUGUUGAGAUCCUACUUCAAGUAGGGAUUUGUCAAGUUAAUCAAAAUACUUUACUGGUAUUCUUUUUAUGGUUUUUUUACUUAUAAGCAAACUAGAUUCAUAAUUACCUACUUAACUAGGUUAAUAGGUUCUUACUGAUACAAGUAUGGUGGGAAGAAUUCUAAGGAUCUGGUAUUGGAAAUUGCUUAACCUAGUUUUUCUAUUUUCAAAAGUGCAAGCUUAAGUUUAUUUAAAAUUUUAGAGGAACUUAGUAUUUGAAUUUUUAAUACAUUCCAGAUUAUCUUGUUGGCUCUGUUUAUUUAAGUGCUUCAUUUUUCAGAAUUAUUGUAACACUUGGCAAGCUUAAUCAUUUCAAAGGCUGGGUUUGUGUGUCUACUGAAGAUUUAUUGUCUCUGAUUGUGUAAGAUUUGGGGUUUUUGAUAUAUGUGUGCAGCUUUAGUUGAGAAACCUAAGAGUUUUGAGCUGCAAAUUACUCUAUUAUAUCAUUUUUUUCAUUCCUAUUUAUAGUAUUAUCCUCAUUUUGUUUCUUUUA